GGGCCCGCACAAGCAGCGGAGCAUGUGGUUUAAUUCGAAGCAACGCGAAGAACCUUACCUGGACUUGACAUCCCCUGAAUAGUGCAGAGAUGCAUGAAGCCCUUCGGGGCAGGGAGACAGGUGGUGCAUGGUUGUCGUCAGCUCGUGUCGUGAGAUGUUAGGUUAAGUCCUGCAACGAGCGCAACCCUUAUCAUUAGUUGCUACCAUUAAGUUGAGCACUCUAGUGAGACUGCCCGGGUUAACCGGGAGGAAGGUGGGGAUGACGUCAAAUCAUCAUGCCCCUUAUGUCCAGGGCUACACACGUGCUACAAUGGUGAGUACAGAGAGAUGCAAGACCGCGAGGUGGAGCCAAACUCAAAAACUCAUCCCAGUUCGGAUUGUAGGCUGCAACUCGCCUACAUGAAGCCGGAGUUGCUAGUAAUCGCGAAUCAGAAUGUCGCGGUGAAUACGUUCCCGGGCCUU
rnacentral:rRNA from 1 species